CAAGCAAAACAUUAAGGUAUAAAUACAGCAAAAAAUCAAGAUAGAAAAUCAGUCAAGCUGAAGACUUUACCUUAUCCUGCCUGACGACGCAAGACUGAGGUAAAAAUGGACUGUUGUUACAAUUACAGUUGAUAUUUAUCUGUUAUGACAAUUUUUUUCCCUUUUAGACAAUGAAGAUCCCUGUUGUGUUCCUGAUUGUUGCACUUGUAACUCUCACCAGUGCAGCUCCAACACAAAACAGUGCUUCUAAAAACAAAGACGAGACUUCACAAGAAUUUAUCCACCAUAUUGUCAAUGCUUUCAAGAAGCUUUUUGGGGAUCAGGGUGAAGCCAAAAAAGAUGAAGCCACCCAGAAGUUCAUUGGUUUAGCACUUGGUGCAAUUAAUGCUUUAUCACACCUUUUUGGGGAUCAGGGUAAGGCUGUAAACGACGAAGCCAGUCAAGAAUUUAUCCACCAUAUUGUCAAUGCUUUCAAGAAGCUUUUUGGGGAUCAGGGUGAGGCUGAAAAAGAUGAAGCCAGUCAAGAAUUUAUCCACCACAUUGUCAAUGCUUUCAAGAAGCUUUUUGGGGAUCAGGGUGAGGCUGUAAAUGACGAAGCCAGUCAAGAAUUUAUCCACCACAUUGUCAAUGCUUUCAAGAAGCUUUUUGGGGAUCAGGGUGAGGCUGUAAACGACGAAGCCAGUCAAGAAUUUAUCCACCACAUUGUCAAUGCUUUCAAGAAGCUUUUUGGGGAUCAGGGUGAGGCUGUAAACGACGAAGCCAGUCAAGAAUUUAUCCACCACAUUGUCAAUGCUUUCAAGAAGCUUUUUGGGGAUCAGGGUGAGGCUGUAAACGACGAAGCCAGUCAAGAAUUUAUCCACCACAUUGUCAAUGCUUUCAAGAAGCUUUUUGGGGAUCAGGGUGAGGCUGUAAACGACGAAGCCAGUCAAGAAUUUAUCCACCACAUUGUCAAUGCUUUCAAGAAGCUUUUUGGGGAUCAGGGUGAGGCUGUAAACGACGAAGCCAGUCAAGAAUUUAUCCACCACAUUGUCAAUGCUUUCAAGAAGCUUUUUGGGGAUCAGGGUAAGGCUGUAAACGACGAAGCCAGUCAAGAAUUUAUCCACCACAUUGUCAAUGCUUUCAAGAAGCUUUUUGGGGAUCAGGGUGAGGCUGUAAACGACGAAUCCAGUCAAGAAUUUAUCCACCACAUUGUCAAUGCUUUCAAGAAGCUUUUUGGGGAUCAGGGUGAGGCUGUAAACGACGAAUCCAGUCAAGAAUUUAUCCACCACAUUGUCAAUGCUUUCAAGAAGCUUUUUGGGGAUCAGGGUGAGGCUGUAAACGACGAAGCCAGUCAAAAAUUUAUCCACCACAUUGUCAAUGCUUUCAAGAAGCUUUUUGGGGAUCAGGGUAAGGCUGUAAACGACGAAGCCAGUCAAGAAUUUAUCCACCAUAUUGUCAAUGCUUUCAAGAAGCUUUUUGGGGAUCAGGGUGAGGCUGAAAAAGAUGAAGCCAGUCAAGAAUUUAUCCACCACAUUGUCAAUGCUUUCAAGAAGCUUUUUGGGGAUCAGGGUGAGGCUGUAAACGACGAAGCCAGUCAAGAAUUUAUCCAUCAUAUCGUCAAUGCUUUCAAGAAGCUUUUUGGGGAUCAGGGUGAGGCUGUAAACGACGAAGCCAGUCAAGAAUUUAUCCACCACAUUGUCAAUGCUUUCAAGAAGCUUUUUGGGGAUCAGGGUGAGGCUGUAAACGACGAAGCCAGUCAAGAAUUUAUCCACCACAUUGUCAAUGCUUUCAAGAAGCUUUUUGGGGAUCAGGGUGAGGCUGUAAACGACGAAGCCAGUCAAGAAUUUAUCCAUCAUAUCGUCAAUGCUUUCAAGAAGCUUUUUGGGGAUCAGGGUGAGGCUGUAAACGACGAAGCCAGUCAAGAAUUUAUCCACCACAUUGUCAAUGCUUUCAAGAAGCUUUUUGGGGAUCAGGGUGAGGCUGUAAACGACGAAGCCAGUCAAGAAUUUAUCCACCACAUUGUCAAUGCUUUCAAGAAGCUUUUGGGGAUCAGGGUGAGGCUGUAA
ensembl:lncRNA